UGGGGAAUUUUGGACAAUGGGGGAAACCCUGAUCCAGCCAUCCCGCGUGUGCGAUGAAGGCCUUCGGGUUGUAAAGCACUUUUGGCAGGAAAGAAACGUCAUGGGUUAAUACCCCGUGAAACUGACGGUACCUGCAGAAUAAGCACCGGCUAACUACGUGCCAGCAGCCGCGGUAAUACGUAGGGUGCAAGCGUUAAUCGGAAUUACUGGGCGUAAAGCGUGCGCAGGCGGUUCGGAAAGAAAGAUGUGAAAUCCCAGAGCUCAACUUUGGAACUGCAUUUUUAACUACCGGGCUAGAGUGUGUCAGCGGGAGGUGGAAUUCCGCGUGUAGCAAUGAAAUGCGUAGAUAUGCGGAGGAACACCGAUGGCGAAGGCAGCCUCCUGGGAUAACACUGACGCUCAUGCACGAAAGCGUGGGGAGCAAACAGG
rnacentral:rRNA from 1 species